AGGAUGAACGCUGGCGGUCUGCUUAACACAUGCAAGUCGAACGGAGUACCUCGGUACUUAGUGGCGGACGGGUGAGUAACGCGUGAGAAUCUGCCCUUAGGUCGGGGACAACCAUUGGAAACGAUGGCUAAUACCGGAUAAGCCGAGAGGUAAAAGAUUAAUUGCCUAGGGAAGAGCUCGCGUCUGAUUAGCUAGUUGGUGAGGUAAAGGCUCACCAAGGCAUCGAUCAGUAGCUGGUCUGAGAGGAUGAUCAGCCACACUGGGACUGAGACACGGCCCAGACUCCUACGGGAGGCAGCAGUGGGGAAUUUUCCGCAAUGGGCGAAAGCCUGACGGAGCAAGACCGCGUGAGGGAGGAAGGCUCUUGGGUUGUAAACCUCUUUUCUUGGGAAGAACAAAUGACGGUACCCAAGGAAUCAGCAUCGGCUAACUCCGUGCCAGCAGCCGC
rnacentral:rRNA from 1 species